UGACUCCAUAGUAUCUUUUAAUAAAAAAACACUCUGCUCUAAGACAUAAUACACCUUAUACUUACAAAUAUACAUGUGAGAGAUCGCAUAUGUGCUCUGAACCAACAGAAAAAUUUCUAACAAAAUGAAAUACAUCUCACAAGUCAGUUGAACUCCAACACAAGCAUUAAGCAUCAUGAAAUUAAGUGAAAUCCUUUAUCAGGACUAACAAACUUAAGAAAUUAAUACAAAUCCACAGGGAUUUUAGAUGAAGAAAAACAUCCAACAUCAAGUCCCUACUAGAAAAUUCAAACACCGAAGCAAAAAUAUCAAAUACCUAAACCAAGUUUUUCGUGUAUCUCCACAACUUCGGUGCUUCUAGUUGAAUUUAACCUUGAAUGGAGGAUGUGUGAGCUCUUGAUAUAAUACUAAUAAUGCUUACUCCUGUUCAUAUUCAAACGAAAGAACCUCCUCUGAAACAUCCAACAACUCCUCAACUUCUAUUUCUUUUGCCUCGUACUCCUCUUCUUCAUCACUGGCUUCUCCAUCCCUUAACUUCUGUCUCUCCAAUUUUUCUUCCUCAAGCAACCGUUUCCACUCGUUCACCCAUUUGUCCCAUUCAUCCUUCAACAUUCUCCGCUUCUCACGGUCCUGCUCACUCAAUUGCAAUGAAACAUCUUGGUCCUCUGCCUCAUAUUUCUUACUAUACUUCUUCAAAUUGUUUGCUAUUUCUUCCUCCUUCUCAGGAGUCAAGAAGGACGGUGGCCUUGGGCGCCACAAGAACUGGAAGAAAUGAUCCUUAAGGAUCCGAUAAAGUAGCUUGCCAUUGAAAGACCAGAUAUUGAAUCCAUUUUCCAUUUCAUGAUGAACCGAAGUCACUGAAGUUGCAACAUACCUCCCAGUAGGAUCCCAUUCAAUAUCUGUUGCCAUAAAAUGCUCAGUUGUUGCCAUGGUCUCGAGCUCAUCAACAUUAUAGAAUUCCAACUGUCCGUUAAAACCCUUCAAUCCAGCAAGUAUUAUAUAGUGGCCAGUAGGUGACCAGAAAAGAGCAUUUGCCUGUUUGCCUUUGAGAGUAGUGAGCUUUGAAACCCGGCCAGUGUUAUGAGCAGUCCUCAUUGAGUAAAAACUUACAUCAGGCCUUGGGCUAUCCCCAUGAAUAACAGCAAACCUGUGACCCU
rnacentral:misc_RNA from 1 species